rnacentral:rRNA from 1 species
AGUGAACGCUGGCGGUAGGCCUAACACAUGCAAGUCGAACGGCAGCACAGGAGAGCUUGCUCUCUGGGUGGCGAGUGGCGGACGGGUGAGGAAUACAUCGGAAUCUACUUUUUCGUGGGGGAUAACGUAGGGAAACUUACGCUAAUACCGCAUACGACCUACGGGUGAAAGCAGGGGACCUUCGGGCCUUGCGCGAUUGAAUGAGCCGAUGUCGGAUUAGCUAGUUGGCGGGGUAAAGGCCCACCAAGGCGACGAUCCAUAGCUGGUCUGAGGGGAUGAGCAGCCCCACUGGAACUGAUACACGGUCCAGACUCCUACGGGAGGCAGCAGUGGGGAAUAUUGGACAAUGGGCGCAAGCCUGAUCCAGCCAUACCGCGUGGGUGAAGAAGGCCUUCGGGUUGUAAAGCCCUUUUGUUGGGAAAGAAAUCCAGCUGGCUAACACCCGGUUGGGAUGACGGUACCCAAAGAAUAAGCACCGGCUAACUUCGUGCCAGCAGCCGCCGUAA